rnacentral:rRNA from 1 species
CAGCCGCCACGGUAAUACGUAGGGUGCAAGCGUUAAUCGGAAUUACUGGGCGUAAAGCGUGCGUAGGCGGCUUUUUAAGUCGGAUGUGAAAUCCCUGAGCUUAACUUAGGAAUUGCAUUCGAUACUGGGAAGCUAGAGUAUGGGAGAGGAUGGUAGAAUUCCAGGUGUAGCGGUGAAAUGCGUAGAGAUCUGGAGGAAUACCGAUGGCGAAGGCAGCCAUCUGGCCUAAUACUGACGCUGAGGUACGAAAGCAUGGGGAGCAAACAGGAUUAGAUACCCGCGUAGUCCCUGUCUCUUAUAC